rnacentral:rRNA from 1 species
CCUACGGGGGGCAGCAGUGGGGAAUAUUGGACAAUGGGGGGAACCCUGAUCCAGCCAUGCCGCGUGUGUGAAGAAGGCCCUCGGGUUGUAAAGCACUUUCAGUGAGGAAGAACGCCUGGUGGUUAAUACCCAUCAGGAAAGACAUCACUCACAGAAGAAGCACCGGCUAACUCCGUGCCAGCAGCCGCGGUAAUACGGAGGGUGCGAGCGUUAAUCGGAAUUACUGGGCGUAAAGCGCGCGUAGGUGGCUUGAUAAGCCGGUUGUGAAAGCCCCGGGCUCAACCUGGGAACGGCAUCCGGAACUGUCAAGCUAGAGUGCAGGAGAGGAAGGUAGAAUUCCCGGUGUAGCGGUGAAAUGCGUAGAGAUCGGGAGGAAUACCAGUGGUGAAGGCGGCCUUCUGGACUGACACUGACACUGAGGUGUGAAAGCGUGGGUAGCAAACAGGAUUAGAUACCCGAGUAGUC